rnacentral:rRNA from 1 species
UACGAAGGGGGCUAGCGUUGCUCGGAAUCACUGGGCGUAAAGCGCACGUAGGCGGAUCGUUAAGUCGGAGGUGAAAUCCUGGAGCUCAACUCCAGAACUGCCUUCGAUACUGGCGUGCUUGAGGACUGGAGAGGAGACUGGAAUUCAUGGUGUAGCAGUGAAAUGCGUAGAGAUCAUGAGGAAGACCAGUGGCGAAGGCGGGUCUCUGGACAGUUCCUGACGCUGAGGCACGAAGGCCAGGGGAGCAAACGGG